GUUCCUGUAUCGCAAUGGGUUGUGCGUUGGACUUCUAGUUCAAAAGUCGUGGGUUCGAAUCCUACCAGGAAUG